GUUCAAUCAGAAAUUAACCCUUCUGUCCUAAUGAAUAGGCUUACUAUUCAGGAGAAAUGGUCAAUGAAGUGGUUGUAUUUCUCAAGCAGAGCUGAUUACAGCUUAUUUUUCUUUAACUUUUUGCCUGUCAUUUCAUUGGUAGACAACAGUAAGUAUCAAGUGUUCAUAUAUUACGCUCCCUGCAAAAAUUUAAUUUUUUUUAAAAUUUGAAUUUCAAGCUCUAUAAAGGGUUACAAAAAAUUGUACAAAGAACUAUCCUUUACCCAGAUUUACCUGUUGCUAGCAUUUUGCUUUAUUUUCUUAUCAUUGUUCUACCCUGUAGAUACAUAUACAUUUUAUUAUUUUUUUCUGAACAUUUUCAAAUAAGUUGCAGGUAUUACAUCUAAAUUUUAACAUGUUUUGUAAUUGUCUCUUUACCUACCUUUUCUACUAAACUUUGAAGUGCGUGGUGAUAAGGACUUUUUAAAAUGCCCUUUUGUCUUCAUAAUGACUAGUGCAGUGUUAGGAACAUGGAGGGCAAUAAAUGUUUGUGGGAUAUGUAUUAAUUAAUAUGUAAAUUCUGAAAUAUUGUCAAAUGCUGGGAAGUAAUGUUUUCUUUUUAAUCUGUCAAGAUUAAAUAGAUCCAUACAGUGGAUCAGUAGUUUUUGAAAGCUGGUCACUGCCUGACUCAGUGGCACACACCUGUAAUCCCAUUGACUUGGAUGCCAAGGCAGGGGGAUUGCAAGUUUAAGGCGAGCCUAGGCAACUGUCUCAAAAUAAAAAAUAAAAAGAACUUGGCAUGGUGACUCAUACCUGUAAUCCCAGCAACUCAGGAGCCUGAGACAGGAGGAUCACAAGUCAGACUCAGCAGCUUAACAAGACCCUAAGCAACUCAUUGAGACCCUGUUUCAAAAUAAAAAAUAAAAAAGGAUGGGGAUGUAGGCUCAGUGGUAAAGCACCCCUGGAUACAAGAAGAAAAGAGAGAGGUAGGGUUGUAGCUCAGUUCAGUGGUAGAGCACUUGCCCAGCACAUGUGAAGCACUGGGUUCCAUCCUCAGCAC
rnacentral:lncRNA from 1 species